rnacentral:rRNA from 1 species
CCUACGGGGGGCUGCAGUAAGGAAUAUUGGUCAAUGGACGAAAGUCUGAACCAGCCAUGCCGCGUGGAGGAUGAAGGUCCUCUGGAUUGUAAACUUCUUUUAUAUGGGACGAAAAAAGGCCUUUCCAGGUCGUCUGACGGUACCAUAUGAAUAAGCACCGGCUAACUCCGUGCCAGCAGCCGCGGUAAUACGGAGGGUGCGAGCGUUAUCGGGUUACACUGGGUUUAAGGGGUGCGUAGGUGGGUUGGUGAAAUCCCCGAGCGUAACGUGGGAACUGCCAUUGAUACUAUCAGUCUUGAAUACCGUGGAGGUCAGCGGAAUAUGUCAUGUAGCGGUGAAAUGCUUAGAUAUGACAUAGAACACCAAUUGCGAAGGCAGCUGGCUACACGAGUAUUGACACUGAGGCACGAAAGCGUGGGGAUCAAACAGGAUUAGAUACCCUUGUAGUC